CUUAUAUGUUUUCCCAAGACUAUCAUGUAUUGUAUUUAAGUCAGAACACAGUUGAAACAAUCAUCAAACCUUUAUUUUGUUAACCUAGUCGGAGCUUAAAUGUCCCCCGUAACAAUGUGUGACUGAGGCAAGGGUAUUUUCGUGACUCGUGAUUAGCCUGAUUAUUCUUGCUUCGUGAUUCGAAGAAAUACCAUUCCGUGUAUCGUGAUUAAUAUGCGUGCCGUGAAUCGCGAAGAGCUAAAAGGGCUAGCUAGGGUUUUGAAUUUACCAAUAUUUUACCCUAACUUGCUAAUGUUAACGUUUAAAACUCGGCCCAAAUUUAAUAUUAUGAUAAAAAAAGAAUAAAAUUGCUUCCCGCGGUUGUCUUUCUUGAGGUUUCUUCAUUUCAUCGUGAACGUCGUUAUCGUAUACCUUCGUACCUCUUCGUAGACUUCGUGAACCAUCGUAAGACGUUCAUAAUGUUUCGUAAUGCCUCGCAAUGAUUUCCAUAGUCCUUUAAAAGCUCUAAUGUUAAAGUCAGUAAAAUGUGUUUGUGUUAACAUCGAGUUCUGCUGUCUAGAAAAUCGUUAAAUGGUUUCAGACUUCUAAAAAUCGUGAAAAUGAAAUUUUGUUUUUCGUGACUCGUGAAAUCGAAAAAUAAUCUUCGUGAUUUUGUGACGAG
rnacentral:lncRNA from 1 species